rnacentral:rRNA from 2 species
ACUUUUAACAACGGAUCUCUUGGCUCUCGCAUCGAUGAAGAACGCAGCGAAAUGCGAUAAGUAAUGUGAAUUGCAGAAUUCAGUGAAUCAUCGAAUCUUUGAACGCACCUUGCGCUCCUUGGUAUUCCGGGGAGCAUGCCUGUUUGAGUGUCAUUA